rnacentral:rRNA from 1 species
AUACACGCUGGCGGCGUGCCUAAUACAUGCAAGUCGAGCGAACGGACGAGAAGCUUGCUUCUCUGAUGUUAGCGGCGGACGGGUGAGUAACACGUGGAUAACCUACCUAUAAGACUGGGAUAACUUCGGGAAACCGGAGCUAAUACCGGAUGAUAUUUUGAACCGCAUGGUUCAAAAGUGAAAGACGGUCUUGCUGUCACUUAUAGAUGGAUCCGCGCUGCAUUAGCUAGUUGGUAAGGUAACGGCUUACCAAGGCAACGAUGCAUAGCCGACCUGAGAGGGUGAUCGGCCACACUGGAACUGAGACACGGUCCAGACUCCUACGGGAGGCAGCAGUAGGGAAUCUUCCGCAAUGGGCGAAAGCCUGACGGAGCAACGCCGCGUGAGUGAUGAAGGUCUUCGGAUCGUAAAACUCUGUUAUUAGGGAAGAACAUAUGUGUAAGUAACUGUGCACAUCUUGACGGUACCUAAUCAGAAAGCCACGGCUAACUACGUG